AGUCAGUACAUAUGCCAUUUUGCUGUCUUUGCGUCUAUUGUUAAAUAAUGCUCACCAUUUGUUGUUGUAGUCACAGAGUUCGGUUGGCGGCUCCAACCAUGCGGCCCAAGGUGAAGUUGAAAUCACACCGACGCCUCGUACGUCAGCUCAGCAAAGCGCGAACAUGGGGAACCAACGCGCGUUGUUCCAGGAUGCGCAACAUGAUGCCCCUUGAUCAUCACCGGCGUGGCCAACAUGUAGAGCCCUUGAUCAUCAAGGUUUUCAUGUGUUUGCGGUGGACAUGUGGCUAGUUUUGCCUUAUCUAAUGGUGUUUAUGUACUUUGCACUAUGGAUAUGUAACCACUAUGGACUAUAUGACUUCUUUGAACAUUUGAUGGACUAUGUGACUUGUAUGGA